rnacentral:rRNA from 1 species
UACAACUUUCAACAACGGAUCUCUUGGCUCUCGCAUCGAUGAAGAACGCAGCGAAAUGCGAUACGUAAUGUGAAUUGCAGAAUUCAGUGAAUCAUCGAAUCUUUGAACGCACCUUGCGCCCCUUGGAAUUCCGAGGGGCACACCCGUUUGAGUGUCGUG